rnacentral:tRNA from 1 species
CCUGUAGCUCAAUUGGAUAGAGCAUCUGACUACGGAUCAGAAGGUUGCAGGUUCGACUCCUGCCAGGC